rnacentral:lncRNA from 1 species
UUGAUUAAGUCGUAUCAUUAAUGUUGGCUUGAAAUCCUUCUUUAUAUUGCUGUUUUUAAACUACCUCUUUUUAUCGUUGCUAUAGGACAAUGCCAGAAUUUCUGUCUCCUAAAUGACUUUAAAAUGCUGUACACAUCAACAAGUGGGACAUAAAGUUAAGGGUAUAUUUAAGAAGACCCCUCUCUGCAUCAGAGAAGCUUUGACCAGAUUCCAAAUGAUGUAUGGGCUUCAUCUUUCCCUGGUGACUUCUCAAUAUGAAAGUGUGAACUGA